UACGGAGGGUGCAAGCGUUGUUCGGAAUUAUUGGGCGUAAAGGGCGCGUAGGCGGUAAUGUAAGUCAGAUGUGAAAUACUCCGGCUCAACCAGAGAACAGCAUCUGAAACUGCAUAACUAGAGUACAGAAGAGGGAAACGGAAUUCCCGGUGUAGAGGUGAAAUUCGUAGAUAUCGGGAGGAACACCAGUGGCGAAGGCGGUUUCCUGGUCUGAUACUGACGCUGAGGCGCGAAAGCGUGGGGAG
rnacentral:rRNA from 1 species